GUCUCUUUGUGGAUGAUAAUUAGAGUAGGCCUGCCCAAUGUAAUUAUUAAUGGCCGCAGUAUUUUGACUGUGCUAAGGUAGCAUAAUAAAUAGUCUAUUAAUUAUAGUCUGGAAUGAAAGGUUCCACGAAAAAUAGCUUUUUCAACCUUAUAUUUGAAUUUUAAUUAUUAGUUAAAAUGCUAAUAUUUAUGAAAGGGACGAGAAGACCCUAUAGAGCUUUAUACCAUUACUUAAUAUUUUAGAAUUGUAAAAGUAAAUGUAUUUUGUUGGGGCGACAUUAAAUAAUAAACAUUUAAUUAAUUAGCUACUAUAAAAGAGUAAUGAUCCACUAAUAGUGAUUUAAGACUAAGCUACCUUAGGGAUAACAGCGUAAUUUCAUUUUAGAGUUCUUAUCGACAAUGGAGAUUGCGAC
rnacentral:rRNA from 1 species